ensembl:snRNA U2 U2 spliceosomal RNA
ACUGAAUCAGCCUUUUGGCUAAGAUUAAGUGUAGUAUCCGUUCUUAUCACUUUAAUAUCAGAUACAUGCUCUAUUUAAAGACAAUGUGUUAAAUGAACAUUUUGGAGCAGGGAGAUCAAACAGGAGUUAUUUCAUCCCCUUCCUGCAUCGCCCUGAGUGUACAUCCUUCCAGGGGUUGCGGGGGAAGCA